rnacentral:rRNA from 1 species
CCUACGGGAGGCAGCAGUAGGGAAUAUUGCUCAAUGGGCGAAACCCUGAAGCAGCAACGCCGCGUGAAGGAUGAAGGUUUUCGGAUUGUAAACUCCUUUUGUUAGAGAAGAUAAUGACGGUAUCUAACGAAUAACCACCGGAAAACUCCGUGCCAGCAGCCGCGGUAAUACGGAGGGUGCAAGCGUUACUCGGAAUCACUGGGCGUAAAGAGCGCGUAGGCGGGUUUGUAAGUAAGAUGUGAAAUCCUAUGGCUUAACCAUAGAACUGCAUUUGAAACUGUUAUUCUAGAGUGUGGGAGAGGUAAGUGGAAUGCUUGGUGUAGGGGUGAAAUGCGUAGAGAUCAAGAGGAAUACUCAUUGCGAAGGCGACCUGCUAGAACAUAACUGACGCUGAUGCGCGAAAGCGUGGGGAGCAAACAGGAUUAGAUACCCGUGUAGUC